GACGAACGCUGGCGGCGUGCUUAACACAUGCAAGUCGAACGGAAAGGCCCUGCUUUUGUGGGGUGCUCGAGUGGCGAACGGGUGAGUAACACGUGAGUAACCUGCCCUUGACUUUGGGAUAACUUCAGGAAACUGGGGCUAAUACCGGAUAGGAGCUCCUGCUGCAUGGUGGGGGUUGGAAAGUUUCGGCGGUUGGGGAUGGACUCGCGGCUUAUCAGCUUGUUGGUGGGGUAGUGGCUUACCAAGGCUUUGACGGGUAGCCGGCCUGAGAGGGUGACCGGCCCACUUGGGACUGGGGUACGGCCCAGGCUCCUACGGGGGGCAAGCGGGGGGGAUAAUUGACCAAGGGCGGAAGCCUGAUGCAGCAACGCCGCGUGCGGGAUGACGGCCUUCGGGUUGUAAACCGCUUUCGCCUGUGACGAAGCGUGAGUGACGGUAAUGGGUAAAGAAGCACCGGCUAACUACGUG
rnacentral:rRNA from 1 species